AGCUUUGCACAGUGGCAGUUCAUUGCCAAUGAGGUUUAUUGAGGCACGAUUAUUGUUAAUUGAAAACUUUUCCCAGAAUUACGUAUCAUAUUAGAACACAUUUGAGACUUUCAAGAUUUGUUAUAAAUUUAAUU